UUUAGAUACCCUGGUAGUCCACGCCGUAAACGAUGUCGACUUGGAGGUUGUGCCCUUGAGGCGUGGCUUCCGGAGCUAACGCGUUAAGUCGACCGCCUGGGGAGUACGGCCGCAAGGUUAAAACUCAAAUGAAUUGACGGGGGCCCGCACAAGCGGUGGAGCAUGUGGUUUAAUUCGAUGCAACGCGAAGAACCUUACCUGGUCUUGACAUCCACGGAAGUUUUCAGAGAUGAGAAUGUGCCUUCGGGAACCGUGAGACAGGUGCUGCAUGGCUGUCGUCAGCUCGUGUUGUGAAAUGUUGGGUUAAGUCCCGCAACGAGCGCAACCCUUAUCCUUUGUUGCCAGCGGUCCGGCCGGGAACUCAAAGGAGACUGCCAGUGAUAAACUGGAGGAAGGUGGGGAUGACGUCAAGUCAUCAUGGCCCUUACGACCAGGGCUACACACGUGCUACAAUGGCGCAUACAAAGAGAAGCGACCUCGCGAGAGCAAGCGGACCUCAUAAAGUGCGUCGUAGUCCGGAUGGAGUCUGCAACUCGACUCCAUGAAGUCGGAAUCGCUAGUAAUCGUGGAUCAGAAUGCCACGGUGAAUACGUUNCCGGGCCUUGUACACACCGCCCGUCACACCAUGGGAGUGGGUUGCAAAAGAAGUAGGUAGCUUAACCUUCGGGAGGGCGCUUACCACUUUGUGAUUCAUGACUGGGGUGAAGUCGUAACAAGGUAACCGUAGGGGAACCUGCGGUUG
rnacentral:rRNA from 1 species